GACGAACGCUGGCGGCGUGCCUAAUACAUGCAAGUAGAACGCUGAAGCUUGGUGCUUGCACCGAGCGGAUGAGUUGCGAACGGGUGAGUAACGCGUAGGUAACCUGCCUGGUAGCGGGGGAUAACUAUUGGAAACGAUAGCUAAUACCGCAUAAAAUGGAUUAUCGCAUGAUAAUCCAUUGAAAGGUGCAAAUGCAUCACUACCAGAUGGACCUGCGUUGUAUUAGCUAGUUGGUGGGGUAACGGCUCACCAAGGCGACGAUACAUAGCCGACCUGAGAGGGUGAUCGGCCACACUGGGACUGAGACACGGCCCAGACUCCUACGGGAGGCAGCAGUAGGGAAUCUUCGGCAAUGGACGGAAGUCUGACCGAGCAACGCCGCGUGAGUGAAGAAGGUUUUCGGAUCGUAAAGCUCUGUUGUAAGAGAAGAACGAGUGUGAGAGGGAAAGUUCACACUGGACGG
rnacentral:rRNA from 1 species